rnacentral:rRNA from 1 species
CCGCCCGUCACAUCAUGAAAGCCGUUUGUACCCGAAGUCACUGUGCUAACUGUAAAGAAGCAGGUGCCGAAGGUAUGGAUGGUGAUUGGGAUG